GACAGAGGGGGCAAGCGUUGCUCGGAAUUACUGGGCGUAAAGGGCGCGUAGGCGGGAUGGCAAGUCGGUCGUGAAAUCCCUCGGCUCAACCGAGGAACGUCGAUCGAUACUGCUGUUCUUGAGGAUUGCAGAGGAGACUGGAAUUCCCGGUGUAGCGGUGAAAUGUGUAGAGAUCGGGAGGAACACCGGUGGCGAAAGCGGCUUCCUGGCCCGACAUUGACGCUCAUGUACGAAAGCGUGGGGAGCAAACAGG
rnacentral:rRNA from 1 species